rnacentral:lncRNA from 1 species
AGAGAAGUUCCUAUCUCACUGGCUUUGUAGAAACCUUGGUUUCUGCGCCAGGAACAGAAUUCCUCUGUAACCCAGGCGCUGGCUUUAAUUUCAGAGCGGCGAUGAAUUGCUCUUUUGAAAAUACUCUCAGUAUAUUCAUGUGUUAGAAUACAGAUGAGCCUCCCACUAAGCUUCACAGGCAUCGGCACAGUCAACUGAACCAAAUCUGCAGAAAGUUGGAUAAUGAGACUCCUGGACAUUUGCAUUUAAAUUGACUGAUCCAGCACAUGCACCGGAGGAGGAAAAAAAGGGGGGUGUAGGGGUGUAGUCUGAUGGGCCUGAGCUCUCCAAGGAAGAAGACUGUCAAGGAGAGCAGGGGACAACCUGACUUGUCAUCUAUUUAGGGGGUGUCCGUGUUACAAAGGUGAUAGGGGUGGGGCUGUUAGGUGCUUUUCAUCGUUAAACAUGACUAAAAUUGAAUUUGCUUUUGUAACUCUUCGUCAUUGAUUGCUAGGAGAGUGACGGUAGGCAUUGCCUCUCAAUGCAAAAGAAAUAGCUGGACUGUUACGCACAUAUAGUAUUAGGUUUGCUGUGUGUAGGUUGAAGAUUUAGAGUCGUUAGUAGCCAGACAAUAUACAGUCAGUCCUCACAGAUAUUUGCCUGCUCCUCCCUAGCCAUUCUACAUGCACAGACAUUUUGCAGCUGUUAAACUAUUCGUGGAACUCUGUAUGUGAUACAUGCGUUAAAAUGGAAACAAUGUAUACCCGUGCUUUGGUUGCCACUGAGAUGGAAACAACAUCCCAGAGCCUUCCAGUUUUACAUAGACCACACUGAACCUGCUGUGUUAGGAAGGCAUGUCAGUUCUUUUUCUCACACGUGAGACUUUUGUAUCUCAUUUUUCUAUAUGAUUUGGGUGUAUUUAUUUGGGGGAAAAUGUUUGUAAUUAUAAGACUAGAAAACCACACCUCGCUGUAUGGCCAAGUUCCUUGUACACUCCCCACGGCGUCCGUGCUUCUGUGGCUGAGAAGCUGAUCCUCUGGAUAGAGCUAUGGCAGCCUUGUGAUCAGUUCAUUGUGUCCCAGGACCAUAUCCACUGACAUGGUUCAUAGAUGACUUAAUAAAAGGAAACUGUGUCCUCAGUUGACCCAGCACAACUACAGAUU